rnacentral:rRNA from 1 species
ACUCCUACGGGAGGCAGCAGUGGGGAAUAUUGCACAAUGGGCGCAAGCCUGAUGCAGCGACGCCGCGUGAGGGAUGGAGGCCUUCGGGUUGUAAACCUCUUUUGUUAGGGAGCAAGGCACUUUGUGUUGAGUGUACCUUUCGAAUAAGCACCGGCUAACUACGUGCCAGCAGCCGCGGUAAUACGUAGGGUGCAAGCGUUAUCCGGAAUUAUUGGGCGUAAAGGGCUCGUAGGCGGUUCGUCGCGUCCGGUGUGAAAGUCCAUCGCUUAACGGUGGAUCCGCGCCGGGUACGGGCGGGCUUGAGUGCGGUAGGGGAGACUGGAAUUCCCGGUGUAACGGUGGAAUGUGUAGAUAUCGGGAAGAACACCAAUGGCGAAGGCAGGUCUCUGGGCCGUUACUGACGCUGAGGAGCGAAAGCGUGGGGAGCGAACAGGAUUAGAUACCCUGGUAGUCCACGCCGUAAACGGUGGAUGCUGGAUGUGGGGCCCGUUCCACGGGUUCCGUGUCGGAGCUAACGCGUUAAGCAUCCCGCCUGGGGAGUACGGCCGCAAGGCUAAAACUCAAAGAAAUUGACGGGGGCCCGCACAAGCGGCGGAGCAUGCGGAUUAAUUCGAUGCAACGCGAAGAACCUUACCUGGGCUUGACAUGUUCCCGACGAUCCCAGAGAUGGGGUUUCCCUUCGGGGCGGGUUCACAGGUGGUGCAUGGUCGUCGUCAGCUCGUGUCGUGAGAUGUUGGGUUAAGUCCCGCAACGAGCGCAACCCUCGCCCCGUGUUGCCAGCGGAUUAUGCCGGGAACUCACGGGGGACCGCCGGGGUUAACUCGGAGGAAGGUGGGGAUGACGUCAGAUCAUCAUGCCCCUUACGUCCAGGGCUUCACGCAUGCUACAAUGGCCGGUACAACGGGAUGCGACAGUGCGAGCUGGAGCGGAUCCCUGAAAACCGGUCUCAGUUCGGAUCGCAGUCUGCAACUCGACUGCGUGAAGGCGGAGUCGCUAGUAAUCGCGAAUCAGCAACGUCGCGGUGAAUGCGUUCCCGGGCCUUGUACACACCGCCCGUCAAGUCAUGAAAGUGGGCAGCACCCGAAGCCGGUGGCCUAACCCCUUGCGGGAGGGAGCCGUCUAAGGUGAGGCUCGUGAUUGGGACUAAGUCGUAACAAGGUAGCCGUACCGGAAGGUGCGGCUG